CGUCUGCUUUGGUUUCGGUGUCUGCUCUGACAUCAACGGCAUCUGAGGUGAAGUGACACAACUUUAAUGUACAUGAGAGACGUGGACACAUCCACACAGUUUAUAAGCUAAUAGCGCUUCCUGGAGGGACUGGCUCCGAGGCAGAAUACACACGCUUGAUAUUUAAUUCGGCGUUAAGCUACACCUGCACUCAAGACGUCCUCUCAGUUUUAAGUGCAAGAUGUUUAUUCUUCUAAUGGUUUUCUACUUAUUCAGUUUCCCUGUUGCAAACUGCCAUCCUUACUAUAAACGCUAUUCAGGCAGUGGUGAGAGAGGCUAUGGUUACCCAGUGUACUGGAUCAGGCCGAUUAAUCCAUGGCCUUCCUACCCUCUCUGGCCACUGUUUCCAGGUCUGUUGCCACUGCCACCACCUGCUACAGCUUCCCCUCCAGCACCAAACCCAGCCACGACCCCAAGCCCCCUGCCCCCCCAGACCACGGAUCCACGAGGCGACAACAGAUGACCUGUGCUCAUUGGAGGGCAGGAAUCACUUUAUUUUCAUUCAUUAUCAAAUGAAUGACAAAAUUCAGUGAUAUAAAAAACUGGGCUGUCUCUUAUAUGUAAAAAAUAUUGCUCACUUUUGAAAAGUAUAUGCUUGCAUGUUUUCUCAUUUCAGUAUUAAGAAUGGUAUGCAUAUUUCUUUUACCUAUCUUUCAUGUUUAUCACUUUUGAAUUACUGUUAGUGGCAUAUUGUCCAUGGUGUAAUUACGGUGUUCCUUUGGAGGCUUGUCAGAGACACCAGUGGGAGUAUUCUACUGUAAUACUAUGUACUCUGUGUGCACACAAAUCACCACCUGUGGAUCAGCACAGCUUAAGAAGGGGAUGGACCCUGUAAUUCCAGACUCUUUGCUUCUGUAAAAUGUGUCUGACUGUUCUUCUUGUCACAACUCAGCAACUUUUCACUGCACUGUCUUUACUGUAGGCACUUAAAGCUGGACAUAAUAUCCAACUAAUUAACUGCUACUGUAAAUGUCAAAUAUGUUAAUUUGCCAUAAAGAACUCUCUUGCACAGAUUAUGAAUAUAAUACUACUUCUUAUUUUAUAUGGAUAUUUUUAACUUUAGUUUAAGUAAACCAUACUACACAAAGGUUGCUGUACUCUUUACCAAAAUCUGCUCUAAAACCAAAUCAUACUGCGGCAUUAGGUUUGAUAGAUUCUGACCAUGAU